UCCUGCAGUCUUUCUCUCUCUCUCGCUUCCUCUCUCUCCCCAUGGAAUUAGGGUCCGGGAAGAGGCAGAGUCGAGGAACACUGGCGGAGCUAGGACGGGGCAAAUCCGUGGAAUUAGUGUCUCUGAAUUUGACGAAGAAGGGCCUCCUCUACCGUCUCUUGAAAAGAAGUCUGAUUUUGGCUGCCACACAGUGUUUCCACAGCCUACUCCAAAUUAGAUUCACGUGAGCGGCGACUGUUGUAAGUGAUUGUAUCCAGCCUAAGACCCGCCCUUCUCAGCUCUCGCCUCAUUCAAAAGUUCAAUUCCCAAAUUUGGUGUCAUGGCACCUGACUUCAGCCGAGCAUUUAUAAUCGAGCAGUUCAUGCUAAUAUAACUUUAUCGUCUCCUUUCUUCCACAAAAGCAAACAAAGCACUCUGAAAUCUUCGGCACCCGCGACAUUAGAGCAUAGAGAUAUGCUGGUGCAGUCCAUUUGGUGUCGCACUUCACCUUCACUUUCAUCCACAGCCAACUUCUUCACAAUCACUCCACUCCCUCUCUUCUUUCCGAGCUGCCUCAAACACCCCGGGACAUUCAAGUUCUACGCUUCUUUCACCCACUCGAAUCUCAUCAAGACCAGGAAAGAAGUCAAAUUUACGUCCCCCAAUGACGAAAACACUUCAGUUCCCAGCUAUCCAAUGGCUCAAACCACUGGAGAGGAACUUUCGGGCGAAUCAUACAACAAUUUGAUAAGUGGGUUCUGCAGGGCAGGGCAUAUCGACAAGGCCAUGGCUGUUCUUGCAGAAAUGGAAGCUCUCGGCGUUCGACCCAAUUCGGUGUCUUACGCUCAUUUGAUUGACGGUCUUGGAAGCAAUGGCAGGACUUUGGAGGCCGAUGUGUUGUUUCAGGAAAUGAUAUGUUCUGGGUUGAGGCCACGAAUCAGGGUUUACAAUGUUAUGCUCAGAGGGUGUUUGAAGAAAGGCCUCUUAGAACUUGCUACUAGAGUUUUGGCAGUAAUGGGCGAUUUGGGUGUGGAGAAAAAUGAAGUGACGUAUGAGAUUCUUCUUGAUUACUAUGUCAGUGCCGGGAGGUUGGAAGAUACCUGGUCAAUGAUUAAUGAGAUGAAGCGGAAGCGGUUUCGGUUGAGCUCGUUUGUGUACAGCAAGGUUAUUGGUCUUUACAGGGACAAUGGGAUGUGGAAGAAGGCAAUGGACAUUGUGGGAGAGAUAAGGGAAAUGGGGAUGGCAUUGGAUAAACAGAUUUUCAACAGCAUUAUUGAUACGUUUGGGAAAUAUGGCGAAUUGGACGAAGCUUUGGAAGUGUUUGAUAAAAUGAAACAAGAAGGUCUGAAGCCUGAUAUAAUGACGUUUAAUUCGUUGAUAAGGUGGCAUUGUAAAGCAGGGAAUAUAAGCAAGGCUCUUGAGUUGUUUACCGAGAUGCAGGAACAGGGGUUGUAUCCUGAUCCAAAGAUCUUUGUCACUGUUAUUAGCCGAUUAGGGGAGCAGGGGAAGUGGGAUAUGAUCCAGAAGACUUUUGAGAAUAUGAAGCGCCGAGGGCAUAAGAAAAGUGGGAUAAUUUAUGCUGUUUUGGUUGAUAUUUACGGGCAGUAUGGAAAAUUUCAGGAUGCUCAAGAGUGCAUAUCUGCCCUAAAGGCGGAAGGUCUUAUUCCUUCAGCCAGUAUGUUUUGUGUCUUAGCAAAUGCCUACGCUCAACAGGGAUUAUGUCAUCAGACGGUUAAGGUGCUUCAGCUCAUGGAAGCUGAGGGAAUCGAACCAAACGUCAUAAUGCUGAAUGUGUUGAUCAAUGCAUUCGGUGUUGCUGGUAGAUAUUUAGAGGCGUUAUCCAUUUAUCACCAUAUAAAAGAAAGUGGUUUUAGUCCUGAUGUGGUUACUUAUACUACCCUUAUGAAGGCGUUUAUUAGGGCAAGGAAGUUUGAUAAGGUCCCGGAGAUAUACAAGGAAAUGGAAUGUGCCGGAUGCACUCCGGAUAGAAAGGCUAGACAGAUGUUACAAGUUGCUUUAAUGGUCCUUCAACAGAGGUAUUGUGAGUAAUAGUGAAUAGAUUGGGUUUUGAUGCAAUGUGCUUGUGCAGUUGGGUAUGGACACAGCCUAUGAUCCUUUCAGCAGUCCAACUAGGACCUUAUGGGAUGCCGGUCACAUGAACACCUCAAACCAAAUGGGGUGUUGAUUUUUACCACAUUAUAGUGCACAACUGAUAAUCUCAAGGGAUUGUACGGGAAGCAAGAGUACUCGGAGAUAAUGAAACCUGCUUCUGGUUUAGCAGUUGGAACAUGGACAACACCAGGACUUGCAACACGAAAGCACUUACUUCGGAGUUGAGAGGACGAGUCACUUUUAUGAGCCAUACCAUCUUGGUUCCUAUGAAGAGCAUUGAUUUGGAAGAAUUGGCUUCAAAGUGCUGCAGCUCAAACAGGCCUUCCUCCCAUACAUGAUACAUUGAAUGAUUGGGAAAAUUGGCGUUUCAAAGUGCCACUUUCAGUCCUCCUGCCAUUUCAGCAAUGAUAUAUAUUUUAGAGUCGACUCGUAUUAUCUCCACCAUACCCAUGUAAUUAUAGAAUACUUGUUUAAACUCAUCUUUUUAAAUUAUAUUACUUCUUUUACCUUAAAAUGUUUCAAGUUUUAACUAGCCUCUUGGCAUGCGCGGACACUCUUUUAUAAUAUAAUAUAAUUAUUAUUUAUUA